rnacentral:rRNA from 1 species
AGACUGAACGCUGGCGGCAGGCCUAACACAUGCAAGUCGAGCGGUAGAGAGGUGCUUGCAUCUCUUGAGAGCGGCGGACGGGUGAGUAAUGCCUAGGAAUCUGCCUAGUGGUGGGGGAUAACGUUCGGAAACGGACGCUAAUACCGCAUACGUCCUACGGGAGAAAGCGGGGGACCUUCGGGCCUCGCGCCAUUAGAUGAGCCUAGGUCGGAUUAGCUAGUUGGUGAGGUAAUGGCUCACCAAGGCGACGAUCCGUAACUGGUCUGAGAGGAUGAUCAGUCACACUGGAACUGAGACACGGUCCAGACUCCGUACGGGAGGCAGCAGUGGGAAUAUUGGACAAUGGGCGAAAGCCUGAUCCAGCCAUGCCGCGUGUGUAGAAGAAGGUCUUCGGAUUGUAAAGCACUUUAAGUGGAGGAAGGUUAGUAACCUAAUACGUGCUAACGUUUGACGUUACGACAGAAUAAGCGACCGCUAACUUCGUGACCAGCACGCCG